rnacentral:rRNA from 1 species
GAAGAUGCGAGCGUUAUCCGGAUUUAUUGGGUUUAAAGGGAGCGUAGGCGGGACGGUAAGUCAGCGGUCAAAUGUCCGUGCUCAACGCGGUCAUGCCGUUGAAACUGUCGUUCUUGAGUGCAUGCGGGGAAAGUGGAAUUCGUGGUGUAGCGGUGAAAUGCUUAGAUAUCACGAAGAACUCCGAUAGCGAAGGCAUCUUUCCGGCCUGCAACUGACGCUGAGGCUCGAAAGUGCGGGGAUCAAA